UGGCUCAGUUGGUAGAGCAUGGCGCUUGCAACGCCAGCGUUGUGGGUUUGAGUACCAC
rnacentral:tRNA from 1 species